rnacentral:tRNA from 1 species
GCUGGGUGUAGCUUAUUGGCAUAGCACUUGCCUAGCAUGAAUGAGGUGCUGGGUUUGAUUCCCCAGCACUGCA